GAUGAACGCUAGCUACAGGCUUAACACAUGCAAGUCGAGGGACCGGCGCACGGGUCAGUAACACGUAUCCAACCUGCCCUUUACUCGGGGAUAGCCUUUCGAAAGAAAGAUUAAUACCCGAUAUAAAGGAUGGGGAUGCGUUGGAUUAGGUUGUUGGUAAGGGAACGGCUAACCAAGCCUUCGAUGGAUAGGGGUUCUGAGAGGAAGGUCCCCCACAAUGGAACUGAGACACGGUCCAAACUGCUACGGGAGGCAGGAGUGAGGAAUAUUGGUCAAGGGGCGCUAGCCUGAACCAGCCAAGUAGCGUGAAGGAUGAAGGGUUAUGGGUCGUAAACAUGUUUUAUAUAAGAAUAUGUAUUAUAUGAAUAAGGAUCGGCUAACUCCGUGCCAGCAGCCGCGGUAAUAC
rnacentral:rRNA from 1 species